rnacentral:rRNA from 1 species
CCCUUAGAUGUCCUGGGCUGCACGCGCGCUACACUGAUGCAUUCAACGAGCCUAUCCUUGACCGACAGGUCCGGGUAAUCUUUGAAUCUGCAUCGUGACGGGGAUAGAUUAUUGCAAUUAUUAAUCUUCAACGAGGAAUGCCUAGUAGGCGCAAGUCAUCAGCUUGCGUCGAUUACGUCCCUGCCCUUUGUACACACCGCCCGUCGCUCCUACCGAUUGGGUGUGCUGGUGAAAUGUUCGGAUCGGCCGUUUGUCGCGGUUUCCGCGGCUCGUGGCUGAGAAGUUCAUUAAACCCUCCCACCUAGAGGAAGGAGAAGUCGUAACA